AAUUUGCAGGAAGUAUGGUUUCUGAUCAACUGCCUGGGCGAAUCUUGACUCUUGCUGAAUUGGAUUUCAAUUAUUUCUCUCUUCUAAUGAUGUCGCAACCAGGCUAGACUGCAAUUGUUCGGUAUCAAACGGAUACGCCUUGAAGAAUAGUGAUAACACUAAAUGUAUAGAAGCCUUAUAUAACAAGCCUAGAAUAACAAGCAGAAUAGCAGCUCAAAAUGGUCGUAUACGACGGAGCUGACUGCUAGGGAGCGAGAUCUCUACUUCCAGGAGCUGUUUGUAGUAACUUAAGACCGAGGAGGACUCAGAUGUAAACAUGCUAGUCACCCUGGUGAACAAGGUAGUACAGGGCAGGUUCUUGACAUGGGAGACACAACGCAAUUAGACUUUAUUGGAACAACCUCAUCUACAACUACAAGAUGAGCCCAGCUCCUUAAAUUCCAUCUAAACUCGACAAAAGGAUGUGGCUAAUACCCCUGCUAAUAUGAAGCUGUGAAGCUAUUCGAGGACAGGAAACUUUUGGAAGACGUGCAACAUCAACCACAUCCUGGCUGUCUACUGUCUGUAGUGUAGCAAGAAACUCCAAGAGAUACAACUGGAGGCAUGACAACGUUCUGCGUGUCAUAGCUGGAGCCUUGCUAGACCAACUCAAGACGUACAAUUCCGCAUUUUCCACGCCCUCCGACAAAUAAUCGUUACGGUUCAAGUUGAAGAAUGGGAGCUAUGAUGAGCUGAAGUUGAGGAAGGAGAUGCCGUUUGAGAGGGCGAAUGACUGGAUGCUGAUCUGGGACGAGGACACGAUACAACACAUCUACAACACAUCCGAGAGACCUGAAAUUGUAGAGAGAAGUGGUUCUGAUAGAACUGACUUGUGGUGACCAAGUCGUGCGUAAAUAUGUAAGGUACAACAGCUAGAGCUGGCAUCGACGGGUGAGUUUGGAAAGCUCAGCUCUUUACGGUAGAGAUUGGGUUACCAGCUCUACUCAACUGCUUUGGACUGACGAAGAGGACGAAGAAGAAAGCACUGAAUGAGGCUGCUUUGGUCGCUCUUCAAUGUUCCUAUGCCAUUUAGUUAGCCCGUGACAGCAAGAAAUGGUCUACCUUCUACGAAAUCGCAAGGUAGAAGCCAUUAACUGCGAAAGCUGGACCCAUAAAACAUGCGAAAGCUGCAACGAGGAUCGCAAGUACUGGUGGAAUACACGUAGAGUAAUGGCUUGCUGACUAGAUGUAUAGAUGGAGUUGCUAUCGAACGAUACAGAACUCAGGAGGGGAUCUACAAUUUGCAAAGACGAUUUAUUUUCAUCCAGAAAUUUACGGAGUUCAUUCGUCUUCAGUCUUGGUGCAGUUGUUUCUCUCACUAUCAGUGACGGUUCGAGGAGACACUGCAUCGCAAUGCUCGGUGAAGAUACGGGGAUAUGAGGCUGUUAUCUCUCUCUCAAAGUCCACUGCACGUCGUCACAGAGCCUCAAUCCGAUCAGAGCAAGCAGCAAAGAUCAAAAGAGACUUAACGUCCAAUGUCAGACAGAAAAAUUUCAACGGAAAACUCCUGGCAGACCUCGGAGGAUUUAGGAAAGUAAACAGACUGGCUGUGGUCCUAGUACAAGAUGAGGAGAACAAGAUACUCGCAAUCUGUAAGACGAGUGACUCUACAAGGACUAUGACGAAGCAGACAAAGUGAAGAAGACUCUCGACGACCGGAGCCUAGCAGAUAAAAUGAUAGCCGUUGGAUUUGAUACGACAUCAUCCAAUACUGGUGGAGUUCACAAAAGGGCAUGUACUAUUCUUCAGCAGCUCCUCAAUCGACAAUCGACAGAUACUCAGGAUGGCCUACCCGCCUGGAGACAUCACGUCCUGGAGGCAGAGCUUGUAAGAGGAUCUGCCUCCAAGCAACUGUUCGGUGACACAACAUCACUCGAAAUAACCCUUUUCAAGAUCAAGAAGACCUCCUGGGGAGAUCUCGAUCUGCAGAACAUCGUCCUUCCCGAUAUCCUUACUUGCUACAGGAACGACGUAAGAUUAGGAGACCUUCUAUCCUUCAUUAAUCACAUCCGCCAACUCAACAACCAGCCCAGGAGAUUACAAUGAAUUCCUAGAGCUUGCUAAACUAAUCGAGUGAGAAAGCAUAGAGAUGAAGAAAGGAUUCAUCCAGAUACAAUGACCUGGAGCUGACCACCAUCCACCAUGCCAUAUACAUUAUGAAGACGGCUCUUCUUCAUUAGCUACCAUUUCACUGGACGAAGAAGAGAAACGUGUUCACUUUGUUGUCUUCGUUUACUUGAGAGCUUGGUUCAGCGCUUCUUUCCUUGAAUCUGCAGCCUCCGACGACAUCCGUUUGUUACAUAGUCUUCAGAAGUACAAGAGUGUAGACAGAGUAUCAGCCAUCACCACGACAGUCCUCAACAGGCACACAUGGUACCUAACUGAAGAGCAAAUCCCACUAUCCUUCUUUGAUAAAGACCUACCUCUAGAGCUAAGAAGUCUACUUGCAGCAAGAAUAGGCCAACAAACUCUUGGAGCAAUUCAAGUUGAAAAUUUGUUUGAUUGUUAUUGAGCGUUAUGAACGUCAAUUAAGUCUAAUUGAUCAAAAAUUAUUUAGAUAUGUUUUGGUUUUAUGAACCUCUUUAUAAUGACCAGGUAGUAAGACCAAAUAGGGAUGUUGGUAUAAUUUCUCGUACGGAUUAGGGUUUUCAACAUAUGCUCUGCGCUCUAGUUUGGGUUUGGAUUUUAAAUAGUCAAUAAGGACUACUUGAAGUACGUGUUAACUGUUAAAGUAUAUUAUGCGUUAGUCGAGUGUUGAGUGAUUAAUCAUCUUCGCAUGUUCAGUAUAUAAUAGACCUUGUUGUAGAAACUUACUCUUAGUACGGUGCUCCGCAGUUAAUGUCAUUCUGUAUUAUACGAAAAAUGCAUAGCUAGCAGUAGCAUGAGGUAUGAUAACCUCUCGUAUCGAAAUCUUUGAAAUGUCUAAUCGAUUAAGUCUUAUUACCUGGGGACCCUGUUUUUUAGGUUUUCAUACACGUAUCAAUCAAGAAUAUUAUUAAAAUUAACUUAAGUCUCAUAUUAAUAUAACGACUGUUUGAGAACACAAAGCCCGGGGUUCCCGGGUAAAUUCAAAGCUAGGAAUCAUGAUUAGUGAUUUGUGUAUUUGGUACUGGCCAUAGCACUCUCGUAAAUCUAUUUGUCAAUAGUUUACGAAUGUCUCCAUCAUUGAUCAUGUUCAGUUGUUCUCUUUAAAGUAUGUAAUCAAAUUAUUCCCAAUUAUUAGAAUAUCUAAGUUAACAUAGAUUUUGUGAUAUGUCUACAACCUUUUUCCACUUGAUUAUAUUUACCGGUUGACCUCGAGCUUUUGUAAUCAUUAACACGAUCGAUAGAUAUGGUGGAAUUACAUUGAAUUGAAUUGGUCACGUUUUUGCUGGGGAGUGCUCGGCUAAAGUUUUACCUAAUUCAUCAUGUUGUAAUGGUAAAACCAUGCAAGGACAGUCUGUUCUGUCAGGGUGCGCUAGAUCGGAGAGUGAACAAUUAACAUCGUGAUUCUUUUGCUUUUAUUCAUUGCAUUGCCGCAUGAAUACUGAUACUUGCCGCAUAAUAAUAGUAAAUACUCUGUUAAGACACAUGACACAGUAUAAUUAAGUUGGCCUAAGCUACCACUUGUAUAGAGGAAAACUUUUACAUGACAAUGAACACCGAUAACAAGUAAAGUUGCCAUUCUGUCAAAAUUAAAAACUGCCUUCAUGAACGUUUAAAAAGUUAGCGAGAUGAGAUUAAUAAUUUGUUAUUAUUAUAAUGUAUUGUACAAACUUGCGCAAUGUUAAUGGUCCUGUUGUCUUAAGUGUACACCCUUGAUGAGGAAAAAGUAUAUCAUGGGUCUGAACGAAUCUAUUAUAUUACGUGUUUCUUUCGGUCGAAUGUGAUUACCGUCUUGAAAGUUUGCACGAAGUCAAUCCUGUAAAUGUAUACUCCUUGUCUAGUAAUUAAGUAAUUUCUACAAUC